GAUUAUGAUCAGUGUUUCAUUGAGUAUUUUAUGUUUAUUAGUUUUCGAGUUAGAUUGCAAUUCAUCGGUCCGCUUUUGAGCCAAACGGACUAUAGCUUUGAGGAGUAGGGUAUUUAUGUACUGGAUCAGUAUUAUGUCAGAAUUUGAUGUCUAUUACAUGCUACAUCAUGUUGAAAUGUGUUGCAGCAUGUUGAUUAAUUUGAAGCAUGUUGCAGCUCAUGGAAGUAUGUUGAAGCAUGUUGCAGCUCAUGGAAGUAUGUUGAAGCAUGUUGCAGCUCAUGGAAGUAUGUUGAAGCAUGUUGCAGCUCAUGGAAGUAUGUUGAAGCAUGUUGCAGCUCAUGGAAGUAUGUUGAAGCAUGUUGCAGCUCAUGGAAGUAUGUUGAAGCAUGUUGCAGUGAUACGCAGCAUGUUAUAGCAUGUUGAAGUAAUAUGCAGCAUGAUAAUUUAUGUUGAAGUGACAUGCAGAAUGAUAAACUAUGUUGAAGUGACAUGCAGCAUGAUAAACUAUGUUGAAGUGACAUGCAGCAUGAUAAACUAUGUUGAAGUGACAUGCAAAGUGACAUGCAGCAUGAUAAACUAUGUUGAAGUGACAUGCAGCAUGAUAAAUAAUGUUAAAGCAUGUUGAAGCAUGUUAUGGAUGAUGAAUUAAACCUUGAGUGAAUGUGCAUUGUGGCAUGCAGAACGAGUAUACACAAACUAUUUUAUUAAUAUAAAACAUGAAAACCCCCA